CCUACGGGGGGCAGCAGUAGGGAAUCUUUCACAAUGGGCGAAAGCCUGAUGGAGCAACGCCGCGUGCAGGAUGAAGGCCUUCGGGUUGUAAACUGCUUUUAUAAGAGAGACAUAUGAUGGUAACUUAUGAAUAAGGAUCGGCUAACUACGUGCCAGCAGCCGCGGUCAUACGUAGGAUCCGAGCAUUAUCAGGAGUAACUGUGUGUAAAGAGUUGCGUAGGUGGCAUAAUAAGUAGCUAGUGAAAUCUGGUGGCUCAACCAUUCAGACUAUUAUCUAAACUGUUAAGCUCGAGACCGUUAGGGGUAACUGGAAUUUCUAGUGUAGGAGUGAAAUCCGUAGAUAUUAGAAGGAACACCAAUAGCGUAGGCAGGUUGCUGGGACGGUUCUGACACUAAGGCACGAAAGCGUAGGGAGCAAACGGGAUUAGAUACCCCAGUAGUC
rnacentral:rRNA from 1 species